AUUGAACGCUGACGGUAGGCUUAAUACAUGCAAGUCGAGGGGUAACGAAGAGAGCUUGCUCUCUGGCGACGACCGGCGGACGGGUGAGUAAUACAUAGAAAACUACCUUGCAAUGGGGGAUAGCCUGAAGAAAUUCAGGGUAAUACCGCAUAUUAUCUACGGAUGAAAGGAGGCUUCGGCUUUCGUUGCAAGAUGUGUCUAUGCGAGAUUAGCUAGUUGGUGAGGUAAGGGCUCACCAAGGCUACGAUCUCUAGCUGAUUUUAGAGAGUGAUCAGCCACACUGGGACUGAGACACGGCCCAGACUCCUACGGGAGGCAGCAGUAGGGAAUAUUGGACAAUGGGGGAAACCCUGAUCCAGCCAUACCGUGUGUGUGAAGAAUGUCUUAGGAUUGUAAAGCACUUUUAGUAACGAGAAAGGGAUAAGAGUUAAUACCUCUUAUUUUUGAUGUUAGUUACAGAAAAAGCACCGGCUAACUUCGUGCCAGCCGCCGCUGUAAC
rnacentral:rRNA from 1 species